AUGGCGAUGAUGAUUGGCGCAGGGGUACGGACCUCGGCUGGAUUAUGGGAGCCGAAUGCAGAGCUGGAGAUUUCGGGAUGGUUUACGUGUGGUCGGCCGCCUGAAACCAGCCUGCAUGAAACUGUCGCCCGACUGAGCUAC